UGUUUUAUAAAAAAUGUGAGUUGCAAAACCCAUGUUAUGAAAUAUGAAUUGUUAAUGAUUUCAUCAAUUUAAAGUAUCCAUUAAUGAUAAUAUUCAUAAAUAUUUAGUAUUUUCAACAAAUAUAAUUUCUAUAUUUAACGUAGAAGAAAAGUAGAGGCUGAGUUUGUUCCAGGUGAAUGUAACAUAAAGAUCUCUUGUGUUCUCACUUAAAAUAAUGCAUGGACAUUCGAUAGAAAACGUUUCUAUGCAGCGUUCUUUCUAUACUGCCAUAUCGUAUCCAUUUACACGGUAACAUAUGACUCGCUUACUCUACAUUCCUAUGUAUGUGACAAGUAAACAUUUAACAAAUAUUAUUUUAUUUCAUUUUUUAAAUUAAUUAUGCUAUUACUUUGUUUCAAACAUGAACAUAGAAUUAUAUUUACCCAAGAAUCUUAUAAUGGUAAAAUUAUCUUUAAUUUAUAUGAAUACAAAAUUAACUGAGAACUUCUCUAAUAUUGAAUGUGAUAUGUAUAAUUUCAUUAUGUAAAUCUUUCAAACCAAAAGCAAAUAAUUAAUUAACUAUACUUUUCAUUUUAUAUGGGAUCAUUAUGUGAAUGUGGGAUUUUUUAAGAAGCAACUUACUUUCAUAAGUUUAUUUAUUGUAAGUAAUAUGACAUUAAUUUUAUAAGCAGGAUAUAAGUAGAAUAUAAACAGGAAUUUUGAUUUUUUUGUCACUAAAAUUAAGAUGUUAAUCAUGUUGUUGUUAAAGUUUUAUUUAAUUAAGCAAUAAUCAAGGUGAUGCAAAUGAUGUUAUUCUUUGAGACAAAAAUUAGUUGUAAAAUUUAUCAAGCCUCGAUUGUUCACAAUUUAUGUAAUUGCACUAUUUACUCAAACCUAAAUACAUAUGUAGUAGCAAUUAUACAUUAAUAAAAGCUUUGUACCUACAAUAAAUAAAGAAAAUAUAAAUUA